CAGCGCUAAGGGCAAACUCAUCGAAAGGUGGGGACGCAAAGCCACAGGGUCUAAGGUAUUUAUGUGCCAUGACAGCCUGGCCGCCGCU
rnacentral:ncRNA from 1 species